GGGACACGUGGUAUCCUGUCUGAAUAUGGGGGGACCAUCCUCCAAGGCUAAAUACUCCUGACUGACCGAUAGUGAACCAGUACCGUGAGGGAAAGGCGAAAAGAACCCCGGCGAGGGGAGUGAAAAAGAACCUGAAACCGUGUACGUACAAGCAGUGGGAGCCUCUUAAUGGGGUGACUGCGUACCUUUUGUAUAAUGGGUCAGCGACUUAUAUUCUGUAGCAAGGUUAACCGAAUAGGGGAGCCGAAGGGAAACCGAGUCUUAACUGGGCGUUAAGUUGCAGGGUAUAGACCCGAAACCCGGUGAUCUAGCCAUGGGCAGGUUGAAGGUUGGGUAACACUAACUGGAGGACCGAACCGACUAAUGUUGAAAAAUUAGCGGAUGACUUGUGGCUGGGGGUGAAAGGCCAAUCAAACCGGGAGAUAGCUGGUUCUCCCCGAAAGCUAUUUAGGUAGCGCCUCGUGAAUUCAUCUCCGGGGGUAGAGCACUGUUUCGGCAAGGGGGUCAUCCCGACUUACCAACCCGAUGCAAACUGCGAAUACCGGAGAAUGUUAUCACGGGAGACACACGGCGGGUGCUAACGUCCGUCGUGAAGAGGGAAACAACCCAGACCGCCAGCUAAGGUCCCAAAGUCAUGGUUAAGUGGGAAACGAUGUGGGAAGGCCCAGACAGCCAGGAUGUUGGCUUAGAAGCAGCCAUCAUUUAAAGAAAGCGUAAUAGCUCACUGGUCGAGUCGGCCUGCGCGGAAGAUGUAACGGGGCUAAACCAUGCACCGAAGCUGCGGCAGCGACGCUUAUGCGUUGUUGGGUAGGGGAGCGUUCUGUAAGCCUGUGAAGGUGGCCUGUGAGGGUUGCUGGAGGUAUCAGAAGUGCGAAUGCUGACAUAAGUAACGAUAAAGCGGGUGAAAAGCCCGCUCGCCGGAAGACCAAGGGUUCCUGUCCAACGUUAAUCGGGGCAGGGUGAGUCGACCCCUAAGGCGAGGCCGAAAGGCGUAGUCGAUGGGAAACAGGUUAAUAUUCCUGUACUUGGUGUUACUGCGAAGGGGGGACGGAGAAGGCUAUGUUGGCCGGGCGACGGUUGUCCCGGUUUAAGCGUGUAGGCUGGUUUUCCAGGCAAAUCCGGAAAAUCAAGGCUGAGGCGUGAUGACGAGGCACUACGGUGCUGAAGCGACAAAUGCCCUGCUUCCAGGAAAAGCCUCUAAGCAUCAGGUAACAUCAAAUCGUACCCCAAACCGACACAGGUGGUCAGGUAGAGAAUACCAAGGCGCUUGAGAGAACUCGGGUGAAGGAACUAGGCAAAAUGGUGCCGUAACUUCGGGAGAAGGCACGCUGAUAUGUAGGUGAAGCGACUUGCUCGUGGAGCUGAAAUCAGUCGAAGAUACCAGCUGGCUGCAACUGUUUAUUAAAAACACAGCACUGUGCAAACACGAAAGUGGACGUAUACGGUGUGACGCCUGCCCGGUGCCGGAAGGUUAAUUGAUGGGGUUAGCGGUAACGCGAAGCUCUUGAUCGAAGCCCCGGUAAACGGCGGCCGUAACUAUAACGGUCCUAAGGUAGCGAAAUUCCUUGUCGGGUAAGUUCCGACCUGCACGAAUGGCGUAAUGAUGGCCAGGCUGUCUCCACCCGAGACUCAGUGAAAUUGAACUCGCUGUGAAGAUGCAGUGUACCCGCGGCAAGACGGAAAGACCCCGUGAACCUUUACUAUAGCUUGACACUGAACAUUGAGCCUUGAUGUGUAGGAUAGGUGGGAGGCUUUGAAGUGUGGACGCCAGUCUGCAUGGAGCCGACCUUGAAAUACCACCCUUUAAUGUUUGAUGUUCUAACGUGGGCCCCUUACCGGGGUUGCGGACAGUGUCUGGUGGGUAGUUUGACUGGGGCGGUCUCCUCCUAAAGAGUAACGGAGGAGCACGAAGGUUGGCUAAUCCUGGUCGGACAUCAGGAGGUUAGUGCAAUGGCAUAAGCCAGCUUGACUGCGAGCGUGACGGCGCGAGCAGGUGCGAAAGCAGGUCAUAGUGAUCCGGUGGUUCUGAAUGGAAGGGCCAUCGCUCAACGGAUAAAAGGUACUCCGGGGAUAACAGGCUGAUACCGCCCAAGAGUUCAUAUCGACGGCGGUGUUUGGCACCUCGAUGUCGGCUCAUCACAUCCUGGGGCUGAAGUAGGUCCCAAGGGUAUGGCUGUUCGCCAUUUAAAGUGGUACGCGAGCUGGGUUUAGAACGUCGUGAGACAGUUCGGUCCCUAUCUGCCGUGGGCGCUGGAGAACUGAGGGGGGCUGCUCCUAGUACGAGAGGACCGGAGUGGACGCAUCACUGGUGUUCGGGUUGUCAUGCCAAUGGCACUGCCCGGUAGCUAAAUGCGGAAGAGAUAAGUGCUGAAAGCAUCUAAGCACGAAACUUGCCCCGAGAUGAGUUCUCCCUGAGACUUAGAGUCUCCUGAAGGAACGUUGAAGACGACGACGUUGAUAGGCCGGGUGUGUAAGCGCAGCGAUGCGUUGAGCUAACCGGUACUAAUGAACCGUGAGGCUUAACCUU
rnacentral:rRNA from 1 species